GAACUUUUAGUUUAAUUAGAAUUUUUCAUUUACACUGAAAGGGUUAAAAGUUUU
rnacentral:tRNA from 1 species